UACGUAGGGUGCAAGCGUUGUCCGGAAUUAUUGGGCGUAAAGGGCUCGUAGGCGGUUUGUCGCGUCGGGAGUGAAAUCCACUGGCUUAACUGGUGGCUUGCUUUCGAUACGGGCAGACUGGAGGUAUGCAGGGAAGAACGGAAUUCCUGGUGUAGCGGUGAAAUGCGCAGAUAUCAGGAGGAACACCGGUGGCGAAGGCGGGUCUCUGGACAGUUCCUGACGCUGAGGCACGAAGGUCAGGGGAGCAAACGGG
rnacentral:rRNA from 1 species